rnacentral:rRNA from 1 species
GACAGAGGGGGCAAGCGUUGCUCGGAAUCACUGGGCGUAAAGGGCGCGUAGGCGGGAUGGCAAGUCGGUCGUGAAAUCCUUCGGCUCAACCGAAGAACGUCGGCCGAUACUGCCGUUCUUGAGGGAUGCAGAGGAGACUGGAAUUCCUGGUGUAGCAGUGAAAUGCGUAGAUAUCAGGAGGAAUACCGAUGGCGAAGGCAGGUCUCUGGGCUGACACUGACGCUCAUGCACGAAAGCGUGGGGAGCAAACAGG